rnacentral:rRNA from 1 species
UACAGAGGUCUCAAGCGUUGUUCGGAUUCAUUGGGCGUAAAGGGUGCGUAGGCGGCGCGGUAAGUCGGGUGUGAAAUCUCGGAGCUUAACUCCGAAACUGCAUUCGAUACUGCCGUGCUUUGAGGACUGGAGAGGAGACUGGAAUUUACGGUGUAGCGGUGAAAUGCGUAGAUAUCGGGAGGAACACCUGUGGCGAAAGCGGCGCACUGGACCAUAACUGACGCUGAGGCGCGAAAGCUAGGGGAGCAAACAGG